rnacentral:rRNA from 1 species
CAUUGUCGCUUCCGGUCCCUGAACUGUGUAGGGGAAGUAGACUAGCACGGCAAGUCCCAGCUCGUUUCUCCCCGCCCCCCGGAAUUCUGACGACSUGCGGACGCCGGGUUGCGUAGCCUCGUGCUGCGCCGCGCCCGCUCUAAGCCUAGCGCCGUCUGGGUCGAGGGGUGAAUGAAUGCCGUGGUUGAAUGCAUGUACUCACUACCGGGAGAGGGGAACAGUGUCCGAUCUGGUUUGCGACUUGUGCCGUCCGAACGGCUGGCCUGACGUCCGGAAGGAAUGGUCUUGUCCAGUCGCAAUCAGGGGAGAUCCGAGCCUUUGACCCCUAGAGGCCGCAUGCUUCGAUUGCGUGCGCGGCGCUGUGCCAGGGAUCCGUCGUUACGACGAUGGCAAGUCGGGACUGCCGCAACCCCCCGUUGCGUUGCUCAGGUGGCAACACGCCGAUUGGGGUGAACUCUGUCUAGGAUGGGUGCACUCGCAUGUUUGCGGGACAGGACCCCCGUUCGAAAACACGAUUCUCCCGAGGCGGUGCCCACUUUUGCGAGGCGAUGGGGCGGGGACACACUUCAUCGUUCUUCACCCUUCGUUUAGAGAGGCAGAGCCUCUCUCAUUCUUGGGUGCCGGAUGAUGGGACGUGUCAACACCCAACACGGGGUGCACCACGCACCUUUGAAAUCCAAGAACUGAAUGGCGAUUCAAGUGCCUUGUGCGUUUGGGUCGACAAGAAAAGAAAAAACAAAAACGACUCUCGGCAACGGAUAUCUCGGCUCUCGCCACGAUGAAGAAUGUAGCGAAAUGCGAUACUUAGUGUGAAUUGCAGAAUCCCGUGAAUCAUCGAGUCUUUGAACGCAAGUUGCGCCCGAGGCCUCGGCCAAGGGCACGUCUGCUUGGGCGUCGCACUCCAAUUUCGUCCCCCCUUCGGGGAGGAGCGUAGAUGGCCGUCCGUGUCCGGUUGUGGUGCGGUCGGCUGAAAUGAGCACGAGGUCCGUCGACCCGUCGCGACGAGCGGUGGCCUAUGAAGGUCGGCGUUGGUUUUGCGCGGUUCGAGGGAGGCCGAGUGUGGAACUUUAAAUCGGCCACAGCGGCCUGCCAUAGUGCGGGCACGUUUGGCCCCUAAACCCGCGUCC